AGUAAUACAUAAGUAACCUGCCCUAGACAGGGGGAUAACUAUUGGAAACGAUAGCUAAGACCGCAUAGGUACGGACACUGCAUGGUGACCGUAUUAAAAGUGCCUCAAAGCACUGGUAGAGGAUGGACUUAUGGCGCAUUAGCUGGUUGGUGAGGUAACGGCUCACCAAGGCGACGAUGCGUAGCCGACCUGAGAGGGUGGACGGCCACACUGGGACUGAGACACGGCCCAGACUCCUACGGGAGGCAGCAUG
rnacentral:rRNA from 1 species